rnacentral:rRNA from 1 species
CAUGCAAGUCGAACGAGCGAGAGAGAGCUUGCUUUCUCAAGCGAGUGGCGAACGGGUGAGUAACGCGUGAGGAACCUGCCUCAAAGAGGGGGACAACAGUUGGAAACGACUGCUAAUACCGCAUAAGCCCACAACCCGGCAUCGGGUUGAGGGAAAAGGAGUAAUCCGCUUUGAGAUGGCCUCGCGUCCGAUUAGCUAGUUGGUGAGGUAACGGCCCACCAAGGCGACGAUCGGUAGCCGGACUGAGAGGUUGAACGGCCACAUUGGGACUGAGACACGGCCCAGACUCCUACGGGAGGCAGCAGUGGGGAAUAUUGCACAAUGGGGGAAACCCUGAUGCAGCGACGCCGCGUGGAGGAAGAAGGUCUUCGGAUUGUAAACUCCUGUUGUUGGGGAAGAUAAUGACGGUACCCAACAAGGAAGUGACGGCUAACUACGUGCCAGCAGCCGCGGUAAAACGUAGGUCACAAGCGUUGUCCGGAAUUACUGGGUGUAAAGGGAGCGCAGGCGGGAAGACAAGUUGGAAGUGAAAUCCAUGGGCUCAACCCAUGAACUGCUUUCAAAACUGUUUUUCUUGAGUAGUGCAGAGGUAGGCGGAAUUCCCGGUGUAGCGGUGGAAUGCGUAGAUAUCGGGAGGAACACCAGUGGCGAAGGCGGCCUACUGGGCACCAACUGACGCUGAGGCUCGAAAGUGUGGGUAGCAAACAGGAUUAGAUACCCUGGUAGUCCACACCGUAAACGAUGAUUACUAGGUGUUGGAGGAUUGACCCCUUCAGUGCCGCAGUUAACACAAUAAGUAAUCCACCUGGGG